UAAUACGUAGGGUGCGAGCGUUAAUCGGAAUUACUGGGCGUAAAGCGUGCGCAGGCGGUGAUGUAAGACCGAUGUGAAAUCCCCGGGCUUAACCUGGGAACUGCAUUGGUGACUGCAUUGCUGGAGUAUGGCAGAGGGGGGUGGAAUUCCACGUGUAGCAGUGAAAUGCGUAGAGAUGUGGAGGAACACCGAUGGCGAAGGCAGCCCCCUGGGCCAAUACUGACGCUCAUGCACGAAAGCGUGGGGAGCAAACAGGAUUAGAUACCCUGGUAGUCCACGCCCUAAACGAUGUCAACUGGUUGUCGGGCCUUCAUUGGCUUGGUAACGUAGCUAACGCGUGAAGUUGACCGCCUGGGGAGUACGGUCGCAAGAUUA
rnacentral:rRNA from 1 species